GCGCCAGAUAUUCUUGCGGAAACUUGCCCAGAUAAUGAGUUCCCCACAAGCUCAACCAAAUACACUCUUGGAAGCCCCCAGAACUCUUCUGGAACAGUCCCAGAAAGCCGGUUGUUCCUUAACCGAGCACGGCCUAAACUGCGGCAUUUUCCCAGACUUUCUGGGAUUUUCCCGGAAAAUGAAUUGUAUAUCAAAAUGAGGUCUUC
rnacentral:misc_RNA from 1 species